CAGUCGCCACGGUAAUACGGAGGGGGCUAGCGUUGUUCGGAAUUACUGGGCGUAAAGCGCACGUAGGCGGCUUUGUAAGUUAGAGGUGAAAGCCCGGAGCUCAACUCCGGAAUUGCCUUUAAGACUGCAGAGCUAGCAGGUGAGAGAGGUGAGUGGAAUUCCGAGUGUAGAGGUGAAAUUCGUAGAUAUUCGGAAGAACACCAGUGGCGAAGGCGGCUCACUGGCUCAUUCUAGACGCUGAGGUGCGAAAGCGUGGGGAGCAAACAGGAUUAGAUACCCCGGUAGUCCCUGUCUCUUAUAC
rnacentral:rRNA from 1 species